CUGAAAUGAUAGACACAAGUGAUUGUUGGAUUAGAGAAAAAAAAUAGAGAGGAUACGUAGCAGUUUAAGCAUAAGAAUCCAUCAGCUAAAAAUGAAUAACCUCUAUAGCUUGACGUCUGACUGUUUUGAUAGGAUCAUCGUCGAAGUUCGUCGCGAAGUUCGUCGGUCCGUAAUUACUUUUGCUCUGCAAGACACACAGAUGACACAUAGUUGGAAAGAGUGACAGCAGUGUAGCUGGAUAUGUGACUCGUGGGCACUCUUCGAAGUGGAGGCAAUUUGUGUCAUUGCAGAUGGUGGUUGGUGAGGAAUUCACUGCAGUCAUUCGGUACCACUCUCUACUGGGCGAUGCUAAGGAUAAUAGGAAGUAAUGAGCUUUGGAAAUUAUAAUUUUCCGCUUUGAAAAGUAAAGAAAUUGUAAUAUCUUCACGACUCUCAGUAGUUGUUGAAUUUUCUAAUCAGAUUCUUGUUUCCAAGAUUAGAAUACAGAAAAACACUGCCUUGUCA